GACGAACGCUGGCGGCGUGCUUAACACAUGCAAGUCGAACGGAAAGGCCCAGCUUGCUGGGUGCUCGAGUGGCGAACGGGUGAGUAACACGUGGGUGAUCUGCCCCUAACUUCGGGAUAAGCCUGGGAAACUGGGUCUAAUACCGGAUAGGACAAUCGUUUAGUGUCGGUUGUGGAAAGUUUUUUCGGUUAGGGAUGAGCCCGCGGCCUAUCAGCUGGUUGGUGGGGUAAUGGCCUACCAAGGCGUCGACGGGUAGCCGGCCUGAGAGGGUGGACGGCCACAUUGGGACUGAGAUACGGCCCAGACUCCUACGGGAGGCAGCGGUGGGGAAUAUUGCACAAUGGGCGCAAGCGUGAUGCAGCGACGCCGCGUGGGGGAUGACGGCCUUCGGGUUGUAAACCUCUUUCGACAGAGACGAAGCUUUGGUGACGGUACCUGUAUAAGAAGCACCGGCUAACUACGUG
rnacentral:rRNA from 1 species